CCAGACCAUGUCACCAUGUCACCUGCCCUCACGGGUAAAUCCUCGCCUGCCUCACCUUGACUUUACUCUUUGGCUUAGUGAGUUUGGGGUCCCAAGAUUUAUUUUCCUUUCAUAUGUCAAAAAUUUUCUUUCUGAAUCAUUGCUUUGAAUUAUCCCACCUCAGGGGCUAACAUUGAACUUUUUAAAUUUACUUUUGCCCAUUUUAAAAUUUGAUUUACAUAAAAAUAGACAGUAUGCUUCUUUGUGUCNNNNNNNNNNGCUCUCGUUACACUUGUUAAUUUUACAAAAAUGUU
rnacentral:lncRNA from 1 species